AGAGGCAGCAAGAAAAAUGAGGGACUUUCAGGGGCAGCUGUGUUUUACUAACCCAGUCAUAAUGCCCCUAAAAAUCCUUAUUGUUCUUGCAAUGUUCAA
ensembl:miRNA